rnacentral:rRNA from 1 species
AGAGUUUGAUCAUGGCUCAGGAUGAACGCUGGCGGCGUGCUUAACACAUGCAAGUCGAACGAUGAAGACCGUGCUUGCACGGUUGGAUUAGUGGCGAACGGGUGAGUAUCACGUGAGUAACCUUCCCUUGACUCUGGGAUAAGCCCGGGAAACUGGGUCUAAUACCGGAUACGACCAGUCCUCGCAUGGGGUGCUGGUGGAAAGAUUUAUCGGUCUUGGAUGGACUCGCGGCCUAUCAGCUUGUUGGUGAGGUAAUGGCUCACCAAGGCGAUGACGGGUAGCCGGCCUGAGAGGGUGACCGGCCACACUGGGACUGAGACACGGCCCAGACUCCUACGGGAGGCAGCAGUGGGGAAUAUUGCACAAUGGGCGAAAGCCUGAUGCAGCGACGCCGCGUGCGGGAUGACGGCCUUCGGGUCGUAAACCGCUUUCAGCAGGGAAGAAGCGAAAGUGACGGUACCUGCAGAAGAAGCGCCGGCUAACUACGUGCCAGCAGCCGCGGUAAUACGUAGGGCGCGAGCGUUAUCCGGAAUUAUUGGGCGUAAAGAGCUCGUAGGCGGUUUGUCACGUCUGCUGUGAAAGCCCGAGGCUCAACCUCGGGUGUGCAGUGGGUACGGGCAGACUAGAGUGCAGUAGGGGAGACUGGAAUUCCUGGUGUAGCGGUGAAAUGCGCAGAUAUCAGGAGGAACACCGAUGGCGAAGGCAGGUCUCUGGGCUGUUACUGACGCUGAGGAGCGAAAGCAUGGGGAGCGAACAGGAUUAGAUACCCUGGUAGUCCAUGCCGUAAACGUUGGGCACUAGGUGUGGGGGACAUUCCACGUUUUCCGCGCCGUAGCUAACGCAUUAAGUGCCCCGCCUGGGGAGUACGGCCGCAAGGCUAAAACUCAAAGGAAUUGACGGGGGCCCGCACAAGCGGCGGAGCAUGCGGAUUAAUUCGAUGCAACGCGAAGAACCUUACCAAGGCUUGACAUGGACCGGAUCGCUGCAGAGAUGCAGUUUCCCUUCGGGGUCGGUUCACAGGUGGUGCAUGGUUGUCGUCAGCUCGUGUCGUGAGAUGUUGGGUUAAGUCCCGCAACGAGCGCAACCCCUAUCCUAUGUUGCCAGCACGUGAUGGUGGGGACUCAUGGGAGACUGCCGGGGUCAACUCGGAGGAAGGUGGGGACGACGUCAAAUCAUCAUGCCCCUUAUGUCUUGGGCUUCACGCAUGCUACAAUGGCCGGUACAAUGGGUUGCGAUACUGUGAGGUGGAGCUAAUCCCUAAAAGCCGGUCUCAGUUCGGAUCGAAGUCUGCAACUCGACUUCGUGAAGUUGGAGUCGCUAGUAAUCGCAGAUCAGCAACGCUGCGGUGAAUACGUUCCCGGGCCUUGUACACACCGCCCGUCAAGUCACGAAAGUGGGUAACACCCGAAGCCGGUGGCCUAACCCUUGUGGGGGGAGCCGUCGAAGGUGGGACUCGCGAUUGGGACUAAGUCGUAACAAGGUA